CGGCGCUCCUCCUCCCCACCUUCCCCGCCCGGAAGGCAAUGCAGGCACCUUUGCGCCCUGGGGAGACUGGAGGGGCCUCUCCAUCCUGCCUCCGCCAGCCAGUGCACUGGCCUUCACCUUCCUUGGUCCUGGCGGUUUUCGUGCAGUGUCUCUAGUGGACCCUUCAAGAUUUCAAGCCCGAGGAAGCCUGGCUGGCUCAGUCGGAGGAGUGUGCUACUCUUGAUCUCGCGGGUCGUGAAUUAGAACCCUACGGAUCAGCUGCAAGUGCGUUCCCGUGCAGACACUACUGAUACAUUUUCAGAACUGAGCGACCAUGAAGGAAGACGAACCAUGAGGUGAGAACCACGUCUUGACCUCAAAGCUCUGUGUUUUCGUCGUGGGAAGUCUCAGGAUUGUUCCUGACAGUUACACUUAAGAGCUCAUUACAGAUCAUUGGGCCGAAUUGGCACUGAGCCACUAUGUGGGAAAUUGAUGAAAAUUUACAUCUAUAAAAGAGUGGACCAUUUCACAAUAUAUACAUAUAUCAAAUCAUUCUAUUGUUUAUCUGAAGCGAAUACAGUGUUAUAUGUCAAUAAAAAAUAAUACAUGUGCAGCGGG